ensembl:lncRNA
ACAUAGCUACACGUGUUAGACUGUGUGUAUGUGGGGAGGGGGGGGUCUGGAAAGACAUGACUGACACACAGCUACACGUGUUAGACUGUGUGUAUGUGGGGAGGGGGGGGGUCUGGAAAGACAUGACUGACACACAUAGCUACACGUGUUAGACUGUGUGUAUGUGGGGGUCUGGAAAGACAUGACUGACACACAUAGCUACACGUGUUAGACUGUGUGUAUGUGGGGAGGGGGGGGGUCUGGAAAGACAUGACUGACACACAGCUACACGUGUUAGACUGUGUGUAUGUGGGGGGGGGGGGGGUCUGGAAAGACAUGACUGACACACAUAGCUACACGUGUUAGACUGUGUGUAUGUGGGGGGGGGGGUCUGGAAAGACAUGACUGACACACAUAGCUACACGUGUUAGACUGUGUGUAUGUGGGGAGGGGGGGGUCUGGAAAGACAUGACUGACACACACAGCUACACGUGUUAGACUGUGUGUAUGUGGGGAUGAUGGGGGGGUCUGGAAAGACAUGACUGACACACAGCUACACGUGUUAGACUGUGUGCUAUGUGUGUGUAUGGGGGA